rnacentral:rRNA from 1 species
CAGUCGCCGCGGUAAGACAGAGGAUGCAAGCGUUAUCCGGAAUGAUUGGGCGUAAAGCGUCUGUAGGUGGCUUUUCAAGUCCGCCGUCAAAUCCCAGGGCUCAACCCUGGACAGGCGGUGGAAACUACCAAGCUGGAGUACGGUAGGGGCAGAGGGAAUUUCCAGUGGAGCGGUGAAAUGCGUUGAGAUCGAAAAGAACACCAACAGCGAAAGCACUCUGCUGGGACGACACUGACACUAAGAGACGAAAGCUAGGGGAGCAAAUGGGAUUAGAUACCCGUGUAGUCCCUGUCUCUUAUCC